rnacentral:rRNA from 1 species
GUAGGAUAGGAAUAAAUUAUAUUAGUUGGAAGUUAAAAGGAAAAUAUAAGAGAAUGGUUAAUUUUAUGGGUAAAAUUUGUUAAACUAAUUAUUUCUUAGGUUGGAAAUUUGAAGCUUUGAAAAUUGAGAUUGAAACUAGGAUUAGAUACCCUAUUAUUUUAAUUGUAAAGGGGAGAAGCUGGAGUAGUAGUAGUUAAGGGCUUGAAACUCAAAGAAUUUGGCGGUGCCUUAGGCUUUUCAGAGGAAUCUGUCCUAUAAUCGAUAAUACACGUUAAAUGUUACUUAAUUUGGUAUAACCAAUUUGUAUACCGCCGUCAUAAGAUUAUCUUUUUAGAGAAAGAAUUUUCUAGAUAUUAUAAGAUAUAAUGUCAGGUCAAGGUGCAGUUUAUAAUUAAGAGGGAGAUGGAUUACAAUAAAUUUAUUUAAAUGGAUUCUUUAUUGAAAGAUAAGGUUGAAGGUGGAUUUGAAAGUAAUUUUGUUAGAUUAUGAUAAAAUGAUUUAAGCUCUGAGGCAUGCACACAUCGCCCGUCGCUCUCGUUAUAAGAUGAGAUAAGUCGUAACAUAGUAGUUGUACUGGAAAGUGUGGCUGGAAAGUCAA